rnacentral:snRNA from 1 species
AUACCUUUCUCGGCCUUUUGGCUAAGAUCAAGUGUAGUAUCUGUUCUUAUCAGUUUAAUAUUUGAUACAUGGUUCAUAGAACCACAUGAUAUUAAAAGUAUUUUUGUAGGGGGAGGGCCCACUUACGCAUUGCACUACAACACCAGCCUCGCCCACCCCAA